rnacentral:tRNA from 1 species
GACCGCUUAGCUCAGUUGGCAGAGCAUUGGGCUAGUAUUCCAAAGGUUGUAGGUUCGAUUCCCACCGUGGCCG